rnacentral:rRNA from 1 species
GUGCUUAACACAUGCAAGUCGAACGAGAAAGCGAACUUCGGUUCGUGAGUAGAGUGGCGCACGGGUGAGUAACACGUGGAUAAUCUGCCUGGUAAUCGGGGAUAACAUUUCGAAAGAGAUGCUAAUACCGGAUAAGCCCACAGUAACUUCGGUUACAGCGGGAUAAGAUGGCCUCUUCCUGAAAGCUAUUGUUACCAGAUGAGUCCGCGGUCCAUUAGCUAGUUGGUAGGGUAACGGCCUACCAAGGCGACGAUGGAUAGCUGGUUUGAGAGAAUGAUCAGCCACACUGGAACUGAGACACGGUCCAGACUCCUACGGGAGGCAGCAGUGGGGAAUUUUGCGCAAUGGGGGCAACCCUGACGCAGCAACGCCGCGUGAGUGAUGAAGGUUUUCGGAUCGUAAAGCUCUGUCAGGAGGGAAGAAACCUCCGACGGUUAAUACCCGUCGGACUUGACGGUACCUCCAGAGGAAGCACCGGCUAACUCCGUGCCAGCAGCCGCGGUAAUACGGAGGGUGCAAGCGUUGUUCGGAAUUAUUGGGCGUAAAGCGCGUGUAGGCGGUUUGUUAAGUCUGAUGUGAAAGCCCCGGGCUCAACCUGGGAAGUGCAUUGGAAACUGGCAGACUUGAGUACGGGAGAGGGAAGUGGAAUUUCGAGUGUAGGGGUGAAAUCCGUAGAUAUUCGAAGGAACACCAGUGGCGAAGGCGGCUUCCUGGACCGAUACUGACGCUGAGACGCGAAAGCGUGGGGAGCAAACAGGAUUAGA